AUAACCCCGGGAAACUGGGGAUAAUCCCGGAUAACGCACAUAUGCUGGAAUGCUUUAUGCGUGAAAUGGAUUCGUCUGCCCAAGGAUGGGUCUGCGGCCUAUCAGGUAGUAGUGGGUGUAAUGUACCUACUAGCCUACGACGGGUACGGGUUGUGAGAGCAAGAGCCCGGAGAUGGAUUCUGAGACAUGAAUCCAGGCCCUACGGGGCGCAGCAGGCGCGAAAACUUUACAAUGCGGGAAACCGUGAUAAGGGGACACCGAGUGCCAGCAUCCUAUGCUGGCUGUCCAGGUGUGCAAAAUACACCUGUUAGCAAGGGCCGGGCAAGACCGGUGCCAGCCGCCGCGGUAACACCGGCGGCCCGAGUGGUGAUCGUGAUUAUUGGGUCUAAAGGGUCCGUAGCCGGUUUGGUCAGUCCUCCGGGAAAUCUGACAGCUUAACUGUUAGGCUUUCGGAGGAUACUGCCAGACUUGGAACCGGGAGAGGUAAGAGGUACUACAGGGGUAGGAGUGAAAUCUUGUAAUCCCUGUGGGACCACCUGUGGCGAAGGCGUCUUACCAGAACGGGUUCGACGGUGAGGGACGAAAGCUGGGGGCACGAACCGGAUUAGAUACCCGGGUAGUCCCAGCCGUAAACGAUGCUCGCUAGGUGUCAGGCAUGGCGCGACCGUGUCUGGUGCCGCAGGGAAGCCGUGAAGCGAGCCACCUGGGAAGUACGGCCGCAAGGCUGAA
rnacentral:rRNA from 1 species